GGUCGUGCAGGAAGAGGGGGCCGGGCCGCGCCCUGUGCGCCUGCGCGGAGGCGCCGCCUGCAGACGUGGAGCAGGGCCCCGGCGGCCGAGCCGGGUUGGCGAGUGGCGGAGUGUGGGAGAGCGGCCGGGAUGGGGGUGCCGGUCGCUCCGCGCGGGAGACCCGGGGCUGCCGGCCGGCGCUGGCUGGUGCUGCUGUCGCCCCUGCUGCUGGUGGCCAUGUUGGCGCGGCCGGCGGCCGCCCUGGUGGAGGGGCUCUACUGCGGCACGCGGGACUGCUACGAGGUGCUGGGCGUGAGCCGCUCGGCCAGCAAGGCGGAGAUCGCGCGGGCCUACCGCCAGCUGGCCCGGCGCUACCACCCCGACCGCUACCGGCCCGAGCCCGGCGACGAGGGCCUGGGGCGGACGCCGCAGAGCGCAGAGGCGGCUUUCCUGCUGGUGGCCACCGCCUACGAGACUCUCAAGGAUGAAGAAACACGGAAGGAUUAUGACUACAUGCUGGAUCAUCCGGAAGAGUACUACAGCCAUUACUACCAUUAUUACAGCAGGCGCCUAGCCCCGAAAGUGGAUGUGAGAGUAGUGAUUUUGGUCAGUGUGUGUGCUAUCUCAGUGUUUCAGUUUUUCAGCUGGUGGAAUAGCUACAAUAAGGCAAUCAGCUACCUAGCCACAGUGCCCAAAUACCGCAUCCAAGCUACAGAGAUCGCCAAACAGCAGGGACUGCUCAAAAAAGCCAAAGAAAAAGGAAAAAACAAAAAGUCCAAAGAGGAAAUGCGUGAUGAAGAGGAGAACAUUAUCAAGAACAUUAUAAAAAGUAAAAUAGACAUAAAAGGAGGCUACCAGAAACCUCAAAUACGUGAUCUUCUCCUGUUUCAAAUUCUCUUAGCUCCUUUUCACCUGUGCUUAUAUAUCGCCUGGUACUGCCGGUGGAUCUAUAAUUUUAACAUCAAAGGCAAAGAAUAUGGGGAGGAGGAGAGACUAUACAUCAUUCGUAAAUUUAUGAAGAUGUCAAAAUCUCAGUUUGAUAGCCUAGAAGAUCAUCAAAAAGAAACAUUUCUUAAAAGGGAGCUCUGGAUAAAGGAGAAUUAUGAGGUGUAUAAACAGGAACAGGAAGAAGAAUUAAAGAAAAAACUGGCCAAUGACCCCAGAUGGAAGAGAUACAGGCGCUGGAUGAAGAAUGAAGGGCCCGGGCGGCUAACGUUUGUGGAUGACUGAAGACUGGCCGAGUGCUCCUGUGCCAAAUGUUCAUUGUGAUGUUGUUCUCAUAACUGAAUUAUUUUAGAAAGUUAUCAGCUGCUCCUCAGCAGUAACUGAAAUCCCUCAAGGAUUUGAUUACACAGAAUAAUGUAGACAUUGAAACUUUCCCUUAAAACUUUAUACAUAAGACAUUUACAACUGUUCAAUUUUUAUAAUCUAUUUGUGGCUUUUGUUAAAAAAAAAUUGAGAUGAAAUUUAUUCAUUGUCAUUUACAAAUUUUAUAUGUUUAGUUACAAGAUUUGACAUGAAAAUUUAUUAGAUGCCAUUUAAAAUUUUAUGUGUUAAGUGUUUAUUCUUUAAGUGGUUCCUUAUUUUUUGUUUCAGGGCUGCAUUUUUCUGCUCUCAUGGUCUCUCUAUUUUCACAAAACAGAAAAAUUAUAACAGCAUUGAACUGCAUUUUUGUAUCUUUCUAGACACCGACUUCCUUAGCAGAAUGAUUUGAUUAUCAUGUCAUCUUCAUUAAAAGCUGUGAUAGGAUUGAAAUGUAUCCGACCUAACCUCUCUAGGAGAGUCUUGUGCUAGAAGAGUCUUUAUAACACCCCAUCAUCAGAAUCCUGAACAAGAUCAGAAACUCUCCAGGAGAGCAAGCCUACCCUCAUGUCCUUGUAGGAUGAUCCUGAUGACGGUCUCAUUAUAGGACUGCAAUGGUGUUCUCAGACAUUUCUCCAGAAAGGACCUUGUACAAAGGUCCUUUGUACCACAGUAUCGCUCCCUGUCUGCCUCUCUCUGACACUGCUCUUUCCCUUCAGUUACAAAACAUGGCAGGGCACAAACUGUGUACUGGAAAAUUGUUCAUGAAACACUGAAGGCCUUGAGUGGUGCAGUUUCUUGUACAUGAGAGCAUCUACGUGCAUUUUAACCAGGAAGAAGAGAUGCAUGGCUGUGUGCUGUUCUGUCAGCCAGUGAGAUAAAUCUCCUGUUUGGAAUUGUUCCCGGCAGCCUGCUCACUUGGUAGUGUUUGGUCCAUCUUUUGGAGUUGUGGUCAGUGCAUGAGUCAAGACGAAUGGACUCUCCUUAACAGGGCUGUGCCUCUUCUGUUCUCUGCCCUCAACAAACUUAACUGUGGACUUCAACAUCCUACAGCAAAGGAAGGGCCGCUGCUUAAGUACCGUUCAUGUACUCUGAGUAUUUUUACUAUUUCUGUUGUCUGCCCGUCCCCUACCAGUAAAAUAAAAUCUGCUCCAUUUUAGAAGCACUUGGGGGAGAAUCUGAGUUGAGAAUCCCAUGAUUCUACUAGUUUAGAAAAUUUUUCUCAUGUUUAUUUUAGAGUUACAGCUAUUUUCUUUUUGGUUGGUAUUCAAGGAUUUACAGAGAGUGGCUGAUCAUUGCCCUGUGGUCAUCAUCACAUCACGUAAUUGAGGUCUUCAAGAUUUAUUCAUGUCCAGUAUCCUCAUAACAGACUCCAUUGCUAGCCCUUUCCCCACUGGUUUGCAGUUUCACAACACAUUGAUUAGAGAGCCUGUGAUCUUAGACACUGUAUUUGCUAUGUAGGCGUCUUCACAUGCUACCUGAAAAAAGUUAAGUUUGGAUAAUUAGCUAUUUUUGGUACCAUUCAUUUAGAAAAUCUCUCUCUCUCUCUCUCUCUAUAUAUAUAUAUACACACACACACAUAUAGAUAUAUAUACACACACAUACCUCAAACGACAGUAAACUUUUUUUUAAGAGUUAUUUAUUAAUUUGAAAGAGUCACGGAGAGACAGAGCUCUCCUAUCUACUGGUUCACUCCCCAAAUGGCUGCAAUGGUUGGAGCUGAGCCAGGCCAAAGCCAGGAACCAGGAGCCUCUUCUGGAUCUCCUUCAAGGGUGCAAGGGCCCGAGGAGUUGGGCCAUCCUCUGCUGUCCUCCCAGGCACAACAGCAGGGAGCUGGAUCGGAAGUGGAGCAGCCAGGACUCAAACCAGUGCACAUAUGGGAUGCUGGUGCUGCAGGCAAGCCAGAGUGCCACUCCCUAGGACAGUAAACUUUUUUUUUCUUUCAGAAAUAUUUUAAUAAAAAUUUGGCCAUUUCCAAGAAAUACCCACUGCAUGCCCAUCAAUAAAAGAGAAUCUUAACAAAAUAGAAAAUUUACCAUGUGGCUAUGAUUUAAAGGAAAAAAAAAUCGCCGAUACUCGAGUAUAUCAGUGAAGGCCAGUAUUAAAGUCACAUUCCUUCUUAUGGGCUAUGAUUAGGAAUCCGGUUAGAUAUCAAAAUAAAACUUAAUACAAAUGCAGAACUAUUUAGGUCACAGGACCUCUAUAGAAAUAUCAGCACAGUAAACUUUUAACAACCAGACCUUAAGGUGUUUUGUUUGAAUGGAAACAGAUUUGCUAAGCUAACACUCAUCUAGUGCUAAGUAUCAGACUGCUGGCUACAAACUGAAAGUUCUGUGGAAAUUAAAGGAAAAUGGCUAUUUAAAUAAAUAAGAUCUAGCUACUUUAAGACAUUAAAUCAAACAUGGUCUCUGUUGAAUUUAUAAUUGUGCAUUUGAGGUAGGUUAAUAAAUAUUGGUAUUGAUACAAACCAGUUAUGUGUGACUAAAUUAUACAUAAAUUAUAAUCUUUUUUUUUUGCAAAAUGUUAUGCCCUUCACAUCUAAAUGUGGGGUAAGGCAAAUUUAAAACUUAAUAACUAGUAAGAUUUGCUAAAUACAUUAUGUAACCUUGUGGCUUCCUCAUCUCUGAGCGGAGGGGAUUAUCUAGAUAAUCAGGGUUUAAAAUUUUAUAAUCUAAAUCUGCCUAAUUCACAUGGGUUUAAGGUCCAAAGUAUAUAGAUUGCCUGCAGCUGAGAACUGAUACGGUAUUUAGAAACCUAGAUGAUUGAUGGCUGGCAUUGUGGCAUAGCAGGUUAAGCUGCUGCUUGUGAUGCCGGCAUUCCAUAUCUUGACACUGGUUGGAGUCCUGACUGCCCGAGUUCUGAUCCAGCUGCUUGCUAAUGGGCCAGGGAAAGCAGUGGAUAUGGCUGCAAUACUUGAGCUCCUGCCACCCACAUGGGAGACCCAGAUAGAGGUACUGGCUUUGGCUUAGCCUAGCCUCAACCAUUGUGGCCAUUUGGAGAGUGAACCAGCAGAUGGAGAUCUCACUGUCUCUGUCACUUUGCUCUUUGAAUAAUUUUUUUAAACCCUAUGUAAUUCUCUGUCUCUCUUUCUGCCUGUCCUUCUCUAUGUAACACUGACUUUAAAAGAAAUAAAUAAAAUCUUUUUUUAAAAAAAAA